AUAAAGUGGAAGACAGCAAUGAGUAAAUGAGUGAGUAAUUAGAGUGGAGACUUCUCCAACCAAGGAAGAUCAUUCCGUGAACAUACAGUGGGCAUUGGACUCAACAAAUCCUGGGUUCACAUCCAGACAACUGUGACUCCAUGAAAUCAGGUGGAGAAGAUGGCCAGGAGGUCCCUCCAGGCAACCAGAUCAGUCAAAGCAAAUCUGUAAGGGACCUCACCAAAGCAGGUCUUCAAUGCAGCAUGGCAAGAGUAACCAGAGAAAGGAGGAGGGGGCACCAGCGAAGAGGCGGCUGCAGGGCUGAGGAAUCUUCUUCCUGAUUGUUCUCGGCCAGUCGGGAGAAGAGCGCUCCUGCAGCCGUGAGGAUGCGCUGCUAUUUUAAGCAACCUGCCAACAGCCUGCCUGCCUCCCCCGCUGCUG